rnacentral:tRNA from 1 species
GUCUGAAUAGCUCAGUGGUAGAGCAGAGGACUGAAAAUCCUUGCGUCGGCGGUUCAAAUCUGUCUUCAGACA